CUUGUGAGUUAUUCAAUGUUGCACAUUGUUGUCCAUUGUCCAUAUUUUUGUUUAACUGAAUAGCAAAGUAGAUGGGUCAUUUCAUGUGUCUGCUGGAAGUUGGGAGUUUAUACUUAUCCAGAUAUACUUGAUUUUUAUGAGAUGAAAUGCUAGCUUUUCAGGAAGGAAAUCUCUUGAACAUGUAUCUUGGUAAUUUUCUUGUUCAAUUUUGUAGGAUACAAUGACUAGAAGACCUGCAGACCCUGAAGAAGAGCUCCGG
rnacentral:misc_RNA from 1 species